UACGGAGGAUGCAAGCGUUAUCCGGAUUUAUUGGGUUUAAAGGGUGCGCAGGUUGUUUGAUAAGUCAGUGGUGAAAGUCUGUCGCUUAACGGUAGGAUUGCCAUUGAUACUGUUAGACUUGAAUAUGGAUGAGGUAGGCGGAAUGUGUAGUGUAGCGGUGAGAUGCAUAGAUAUUACACAGAACACCGAUUGCGAAGGCAGCUUACUAAUCCAUCAUUGACGCUGAGGCACGAAAGCGUGGGGAUCAAA
rnacentral:rRNA from 1 species